GACGAACGCUGGCGGCGUGCUUAACACAUGCAAGUCGAACGGAAAGGCCCUGCUUUUGUGGGGUGCUCGAGUGGCGAACGGGUGAGUAACACGUGAGUAACCUGCCCUUGACUUUGGGAUAACUUCAGGAAACUGGGGCUAAUACCGGAUAGGAGCUCCUGCUGCAUGGUGGGGGUUGGAAAGUUUCGGCGGUUGGGGAUGGACUCGCGGCUUAUCAGCUUGUUGGUGGGGUAGUGGCUUACCAAGGCUUUGACGGGUAGCCGGCCUGAGAGGGUGGCCGGCCCCACGGGAACGGAGACAGGGUCCAGGGGACUAAGGGAGGGAGCAGGGGGGAAUAGGGGACACGGGGCGGAAGCCGGAUCCAGGCAGCGCGCGUGGGGGACGAAGGCGUGCGGGGUGGAAGGGCGGGUGGGGGGGAAAGAAAAGCAGGAGGUUAAUACCCCGCGGUUAUGACGGGACAAAAAGAAUAAGCACCGGCUAACUUCGUG
rnacentral:rRNA from 1 species